CGAUCACCCCGGCCCUGCCCACCGAGCGAGCCCGGGCGGGAGCUGCUGCUGUGGGGUCCCGCUGGCAAAGCCUGGCCUGUCGGUCUUGGGCGGUCGGUCGUCAUCUUCCCCAGUCCCUGCGGGGGUUUAGGGGAACCACCCCUCUCCCCGAACUGGAGGGUCCCCAGAAAGAUUAAGCCUGGGCAGAUAACGAGAUCAAAACCGGUAUGUGGUUUCUUGGGGUGCAGGCUCUUGCUGCACGACCCCCCGCCCCCGAAAGUCGCCCUCACCCCUGGAUCCCGAGGACAAAGGUCUGGAGAGGUCCGUCCCCUCCCCCAGCGAGGAGACCGGGAAAGACCCGCGGGUGUCGUACCCAGGUGAGCGUCCAGCUCCUUUCUGCCAGACAGACCUGACUCCGCGCUAGGCAACCUUUCCCUUCUGUAUUUAAGACGAGUAAACAUAAAAGUUUGACAGUCUGCUUAAGGACGUCUGGUAACUCGUUUGUCACUGUAGGCACGGGAAACGCUUCUUAAACCUGAUUUGGCUAGAGUCGGUUAAUUUAAUGCGCUAGGCGGCUUGCUAAAAGAUGCGUGACAAAUGGCAACUUCACACUCAGAUGUAAUCAAACUGGCUGUUUUGAUUUUGAAAAAUAAAUUUAAGAAAAACAGGUUCCUUUGCCCACCCCUUUUUGCCUAUAAAUUGGAAAGCUUACCUCACAUGACUGAAAUCCCAAGCGCCAAUAUUUAAUGAUGUUUAUAGAGGAUGUAUGGAUAGACUGCUUUCAAAUGUAAAGAUGAAUGACAUAUUUUGAAAGCGUUUCCUCUGCCGGCGCUGGCGAUGUAGUUAGGCUUUCUCAAUUUCGGGCUUGGUUCUGAUGAUCCAGGUUACAGGUUCUAGGGUCAAAAGAAUGAACAAUGAAAUCUUAGGAUCCAAACCUCCUAAAUGUUAGAUAUGACCAUAUUGCUAGUUUUGACAGGUAUUCGUUACCCUAAGAACUUAAAUAUCUAGCUUUACAUUUAAAAGUUUGAUUAAAGCAAAGAAACUAAAUUGCACUACAGAAGUCUUUCUGUCUAGAUAGCAUCUUCUGGCAAAGAGAAGGGCAAAAAUACUGUUAACCAAUUUUGAAGAAGAAAGAACAGUGGUUUAAAGAGCUAAGCAAGGGCAGGAUAAUGUUUUGAAAGCUAGGAAGAUGAAAUUGUAUGAAUUACUGUCAAAUGUUCUAAAGCUAGGGGGAAUAAUCCUUUAGAGGGAAGGUGUGGAAGAAAAGAUGAUUAAUUGUGAAAGGGAAAGCCCCAGAGGCAAGAGAAAUUGCAAUUACUUUAGGUUAAGGGGGGAAAAGUGUGUAUCUAAAGACUUAACAAAAACAAGAAUACUGAAUUUCAUUUCUUGUUCUUUUACAAUGUGAAAUAAGCAUUUAUACAUGAUUAAUAUAUUUCUUGAAGAAUGUUCUCUAUUUAGCACAAUCCCCAUUUAUGUGAUUGGGAGAUGCCUUUUUUCUACUGAAGUGAAUGAAUAAAUACCUUGAGAAAAUGCCACGGUUUCUACUUGGUAGUAAAAUAAUGAUUUAAAUGCUGUUGAAAAUGCAUUGUCAACCUAAAGCUUGUGAUUUCUAGGUUUUUCUAUCCAGUGCCUUCAUAUUAAGACCUUAUUCAACCAAAGCGAUUAUCUUCCAUUUUCAACUAACACUUUUUCUAAUGGUAACAUUAUAGUUGUAUUCAUUUUUGUUUUUGACACUUGGAAUUGGCUUCUAUUAGUGUAACUGCAUAUGUAAGCAGUUCACUGUGAUGUAAUCUUGAAUGUAACAUGGAACAAUUAUGUCAUUAAAAACAAAUUUGGAACAUGUAUCAACAAUCCCAGAGGCACUAAAUUUAAUUCCCUUUUAUCUUUAGCUAUUUUAAAGGGUUUAAAUUCUCCUGCUUCUGGUAUUUCCAUUAAAUCUUACAGCAAUUAGUUUCAACAGAUGGGACCUGGGGCUUUGAUUCCAAAUAGUUUUUUUGUUUGUUUUUUUAAUCCUCCAUUUCUAAGUAGAAGCUACUUAUUUGGAAUAGGAGACUUUUACCAUUUUGAACUAAAAGAGGAAACAAAUAUAAAAAGUCUGCGUUUCCAACAUAUACCCUUCUUCCCUUGUGUCUCAGGAUAUCUUUGUUCAUGCUUCACUAUUAUCGUUAGUUUACCAGGGCAGGAAACCUCUGAAGUGGUCAAGAUACUACACCCAGUGGAUUAAUAAAAUAUGUAUGAUAAGAAAAAAUAGGCCCUUUACUAGUUGCUAAAUCAUUUUAAAUAGAAUAUCCUUUCCUUAAACACUUGGCCAGAAGAAUCUUGAAAAACCAUAGUUGGGAGGAAUGUUGGUGGUUUGGAAUCAUAUUUUUGUGCUGUAAUGUAAAUGUUUUAAGAAAAAGAAAAAAAUUGAGCUUGAUUAACAGUGGGUCUUAGAUUACCACACCCUCUAAAUUGAAGUCCAUUCAUUCUUAAAACAUAUUUGUUGACCAAUACUGUACAAGUUUCUUUGGAAAACAGUGACAAAAUUCCAACCUAGGAAGGGAUGAGUGAUCAUAUGUAGAGAAUUUUUUUCUCCUUUCCUCAAGUAGCAUAAAAUCAAGAAGCAAGCUGGAAAAAACUAGAAAGCACAUCAGGAAAAAUUAGAUAUGGCCGCAAACAAUGUGGAGGCACCGUUAUUCAGAGGAUUCUUGGAGAAUGGAAGCUUCUUCAGCUAGGUUCUAAACAGUGAUAAAUGUGAGUCGGUGAACAGUGUGGAAUGUCAUUGUUAGGCUGGUGACAGGGUGGCCCAGGCAAAGGGACAACAUGCAGGGAAUAAUAAGGGAACAGCCACAAAUGGUCUGUAUGGGCGGAUGUUGGGCCUGUUGUCUCAGUUCCUUGGGAGACUGAAACAAGAGGCUCACUUGAGCCCAAGACUUCAAGACCAGCCCAGGCAACGUAAGGAGACCCCAUCUCACAAAGUGAAGGGAAUCACUGUGAAAAAGUUAGAGAACACAGCUGUGAAACCAGAGGCUCCAGAAAACUGAAAAAAGAACGAACCUUUUACUGACCGAAAGAAGCAAAUGCCCAAGAGAGAAGAAAGCGGAGAAGUAAGGGAUUCAGAAUGUGGCUGCUAAAAUGUGGAAAAUGAAAAUGAACGGCCCACAAAUUUCUGAAAUGAAGUUAAAGGAAGAUCAUGCUAUGAAAAAGCGUGGGAAAGGCACACAUUUCAAGUCAGGUACAAAGGAUCGAACUCAGGACCUCACACUUACCACUUAUGAGUCAGGGAUCGAACUCGGGACCUUGCCCUUGUGAGUGAACAUUGAUGGAAAGAUCCAAGGUGGAGUCAUGAUCCGGUUAUUCCUCAACCUGGAGAUGGUACUGAAAACCAUGGGGCAGAGACCACCAAGUGAAUGAAGAUCACCACGCUUCUUACCAGGGGUGGGGGAGAAUUGACUCGGAAGAGACAGGGAGAGCAAGAAGGACUUCAGGGUGCCCAGAUGCCUGGUAGGACUCUGAGGACAGAUCAGCAUCCAAAUGGAAGAAGGGACAGGCUGUGACGGAAGGGCACUUCACCCCGAGGCCUAACUCCCCAAGACCAAUCAUGAGAGAAGUGCCAGACACUCCUCAAUUGAAGGACUCUUUACAAAACCCACGAUCAGUACUCCUCAAGAUUGUCAAGGUCAUCAAAGAACGUCCAAGAAACUGUCCUGGUCAGGAGCAGCCUCAGGACAAUGUACACAUCCGACAGGGGGGCCCUGGGAGGGAAAGGGACAGGUGAAGACUCUGGAAGUGAGCCUGACCUUAGAACUUAGAAUUAAGGAGAUCUGAACAAAGUGUGCCCUUCAGUUAAUAAGGUGUUGAUACCAGUUUGUUAGUUAUGAAAAAUGUUCCACACUAAUGUUCCUCUUACUCGUGUAAGACUUCAACAAAAGGAAAGUAGGUUUGGGAUAUAUGGAAAUUCUCUACACUCUCUUUGCAGCUGUUCUUUAUAUCUGAAAUAAAUGUUACUAUAUAUUUUU